rnacentral:rRNA from 1 species
GUGCAGCACGGACUUCGGUCUGGUGGCGAGUGGCGAACGGGUGAGUAAUACAUCGGAACGUGCCUAGUAGUGGGGGAUAACUACUCGAAAGAGUGGCUAAUACCGCAUGAGAUCUACGGAUGAAAGCAGGGGAUCGCAAGACCUUGUGCUACUAGAGCGGCUGAUGGCAGAUUAGGUAGUUGGUGGGAUAAAAGCUUACCAAGCCGACUAUCUGUAGCUGGUCUGAGAGGACGAUCAGCCACACUGGGACUGAGACACGGCCCAGACUCCUACGGGAGGCAGCAGUGGGGAAUUUUGGACAAUGGGCGCAAGCCUGAUCCAGCAAUGCCGCGUGCAGGAUGAAGGCCUUCGGGUUGUAAACUGCUUUUGUACGGAACGAAAAGCUUUGGGCUAAUACCCUGGAGUCAUGACGGUACCGUAGGAAUAAGCACCGGCUAACUACGUGCCAGCAGCCGCGGUAAUACGUA